CCUACGGGAGGCAGCAGUAGGGAAUCUUCCACAAUGGGCGAAAGCCUGAUGGAGCAACGCCGCGUGGGUGAAGAAGGUCUUCGGAUCGUAAAACUCUGUUGUUAGAGAAGAAAGUGCGUGAGAGUAACUGUUCACGUUUCGACGGUAUCUAACCAGAAAGCCACGGCUAACUACGUGCCAGCAGCCGCGGUAAUACGUAGGUGGCAAGCGUUAUCCGGAUUUAUUGGGCGUAAAGGGAACGCAGGCGGUCUUUUAAGUCUGAUGUGAAAGCCUGCGGCUUAACCGGAGUAGUGCAUUGGAAACUGGGAGACUUGAGGGCAGAAGAGGAGAGUGGAACUCCAUGGGUAGCGGUGAAAUGCGUAGAUAUAUGGAAGAACACCAGUGGCGAAGGCGGCUCUCUGGUCUGUAACUGACGCUGAGGUUCGAAAGCGUGGGUAGCAAACAGGAUUAGAUACCCCUGUAGUC
rnacentral:rRNA from 1 species